CCUACGGGUGGCUGCAGUGGGGGAUAUUGCACAAUGGGGGAAACCCUGAUGCAGCGACGCCGCGUGUGGGAAGACGGUCUUCUGGAUUGUAAACCACCGUCCCCAGGGACGAAAAUGACGGUACCUGGGGCGGAAGCUCCGGCUAACUACGUGCCAGCAGCGACGGUAAUCCGUAGGGAGCAAGGGUUGUCCGGAAUUACUGGGUGUAAGGGGAGCGUAGGCGGGGAUGCAAGUUGGGUGUCAAAACCACCGGCUCAACCGAUAGUCGCACUCAAAACUGCAGCGCUUGAGUGAAGUAGAGGCAGGCGGAAUUCCUAGUGUAGCGGUGAAAUGCGUAGAUAUUAGGAGGAACACCAGUGGCGAAGGCGGCCUGCUGGGCUGUUACUGACGCUGAGGCUCGAAGGUGUGGGGAGCAAACAGGAUUAGAUACCCUGGUAGUC
rnacentral:rRNA from 1 species